AAAGCUCCGGCGGUGCAGGAUGAGCCCGCGGCCUAUCAGCUAGUUGGUGAGGUAACGGCUCACCAAGGCGACGACGGGUAGCCGGCCUGAGAGGGCGACCGGCCACACUGGGACUGAGACACGGCCCAGACUCCUACGGGAGGCAGCAGUGGGGAAUAUUGCACAAUGGGCGAAAGCCUGAUGCAGCGACGCCGCGUGAGGGAUGACGGCCUUCGGGUUGUAAACCUCUUUCAGCAGGGAAGAAGCGAAAGUGACGGUACCUGCAGAAGAAGCGCCGGCUAACUACGUGCCAGCAGCCGCGGUAAUACGUAGGGCGCAAGCGUUGUCCGGAAUUAUUGGGCGUAAAGAGCUCGUAGGCGGCUUGUCACGUCGGUUGUGAAAGCCCGGGGCUUAACCCCGGGUCUGCAG
rnacentral:rRNA from 1 species